rnacentral:rRNA from 1 species
GGCGGCAUGCCUUACACAUGCAAGUCGAACGACAGCGCGGGGCAACCUGGCGGCGAGUGGCGAACGGGUGAGUAAUAUAUCGGAACGUACCCAGGAGUGGGGGAUAACGUAGCGAAAGUUACGCUAAUACCGCAUACGAUCUACGGAUGAAAGCAGGGGAUGCGCUUGCGCACCUUGUGCUCCUGGAGCGGCCGAUAUCUGAUUAGCUAGUUGGUAGGGUAAAGGCCUACCAAGGCAUCGAUCAGUAGCUGGUCUGAGAGGACGACCAGCCACACUGGAACUGAGACACGGUCCAGACUCCUACGGGAGGCAGCAGUGGGGAAUUUUGGACAAUGGGCGCAAGCCUGAUCCAGCAAUGCCGCGUGAGUGAAGAAGGCCUUCGGGUUGUAAAGCUCUUUCGUCAGGGAAGAAACGGGAGGGGCUAAUAUCCCCUUCUAAUGACGGUACCUGAAGAAUAAGCACCGGCUAACUACGUGCCAGCAGCCGCGGUAAUACGUAGGGUGCAAGCGUUAAUCGGAAUUACUGGGCGU